UACAGAGGUCUCGAGCGUUGUUCGGAUUCAUUGGGCGUAAAGGGUGCGUAGGUGGCGAGGUAAGUCGGAUGUGAAAUCCCGGGGCUCAACCCCGGAACUGCAUUCGAUACUGCCCUGCUAGAGUACUGGAGAGGAGAUUGGAAUUUACGGUGUAGCAGUGAAAUGCGUAGAUAUCGUAAGGAAGACCAGUGGCGAAGGCGGAUCGCUGGACAGUUACUGACACUGAGGCACGAAGGCCAGGGGAGCAAACGGG
rnacentral:rRNA from 1 species